rnacentral:lncRNA from 10 species
CUGCUCCAGGGCUUUGGACCACAGAAGGAGCUCCUACAGCUGCUGGGAACACUGAGAAGGAGGAUGGGUGUGCAGUACACAGGAGAGCCUGGAACAGGUGAGUUAUGGUCACAGUUGUGUCAAUGCUGACUUUGACAUCCCCGAGCGCAGUUACAAGGGUGACCUCAGACCUCACAGAGCUCUUCAUGCUGGCUCUUCUCAUGAGUAAUAGCAGAAUUUUCUCCUGGGGCAGCAAUGUGCAUGUCACUAAUCAAUUCUUUUAAAUCCCUUAAUCUUAUUGUUCCUUAGUGGGAAGGCUCCAAACAUUUUUUUUUCAUAUUAAAAAAAAAAAAAAGCUAGGCUGGGUAUGGUAGCUCAUGCCUGUAAACCCAGCACUUUGGCAGGCUAAGGCGGGAGGAUUGCUUGAGUCCAGGAGUUCAAGAUCAGCCUGGCCAGC